AUGGGUUUCAAACUCCUCUGCCCUCGGCAUUAUAAAUCAGGGCUGGUUCCCCAAUCCAACACCAUCGACUGAAACAACAAUCCCAUCAGAGUUUCUCUAAGGGUGUAAGGAGAGGAAGACUCCAGCAUCUGACCGACAUCAUCAAUGGCGUCCCAACAAGGACUUGCUACAGAGCAGGCCUCCAACUGAUGUGAAACGCUCAGUACAUGUAGGCAAUGGCGUUGAAGUUAAUGUGGAGGUAAUUAGAGUCUGUAAGCUUAGGUUAAAGUCAGGUCAUUUAUUAGAUCUAGUAGAUACAUUUUUUGUGCCUUCUAUAAGGCGUAAUUUGAUAUCUAUUUCUUGGUUAGAUAAAUCAGGUUUUCUUUUCAAUUUGAGAAUAAAAGAUUAAGUA